rnacentral:rRNA from 1 species
AUUGAACGCUGGCGGCAGGCCUAACACAUGCAAGUCGAGCGAGCGGCGGACGGGUGAGUAAUGUCUGGGAAACUGCCUGAUGGAGGGGGAUAACUACUGGAAACGGUAGCUAAUACCGCAUACCAUGAGAUGUGCCCAGAUGGGAUGAGCUAGUAGGUGGGGUAACGGCUAAACUAGGCGACGAUCCCUAUCUGGUCUGAGAGGAUGACCAGACACACUGGAACUUAGACACGUUCCAGACGACUACGUGAGGCAGCAUUGGGGAAUAUUGCACAAUGGGCGAAAGCCGGAGGCAGCCAUGCCGCGUGGGUGAAGAAGGUCUUCGGGUGGUAAAGCACUUUCAUCGGGGAGGCGUUACCCGCAGAAGAAGCACCGGCUAACUCCGUGCCAGCAGCCGCGGUAAUUC